UGCCCAUUGGCCCAGUGGUUAAGGCGUCUGACUGUUAUACUUGUUUGUCAAUCAACCGUAGCAGAAAAAUCAGAAGAUCCCUGGUUCGACCCCAGGAUGGGCAG